rnacentral:rRNA from 1 species
UACGGAGGGGGCUAGCGUUGUUCGGAAUUACUGGGCGUAAAGCGCGCGUAGGUGGUUUGUUAAGUUGAAUGUGAAAGCCCCGGGCUCAACCUGGGAACUGCAUCCAAAACUGGCAAGCUAGAGUACGGUAGAGGGUGGUGGAAUUUCCUGUGUAGCGGUGAAAUGCGUAGAUAUAGGAAGGAACACCAGUGGCGAAGGCGACCACCUGGACUGAUACUGACACUGAGGUGCGAAAGCGUGGGGAGCAAACAGG